rnacentral:rRNA from 1 species
AGAAGAGACGCAUUUAUUAGAUAAAAAGCCAAUGCAUGCUUUUACAGUAUGGAAAUUGGUGAUUUAUAAUAACUUGGCAAAUCGCAAAGUGAAAACAGGCGAUAAAUCAUUCAAGUUUCUGACCUAUCAGCUUUCGACGGUAUGGUAUUGGCUUACCGUGGCAGUGACGGUUAACGGGGGAUUAGGGUUCGAUUCCGGAGAGGGAGCCUGAGAAACGGCUACCACAUCUAAGGAAGGCAGCAGGCGCGCAAAUUACCCAAUUCUAACAGUUUGAGAGAGGUAGUAACAAGAAAUAACAAUACAAGGCAAUUAAAAUGCUUUGUAAUUGGAAUGAUAGAAAUUUAAACCCUUUUUAAAGUAUCAAUUGGAGGGCAAGUCUGGUGCCAGCAGCCGCGGUAAUUCCAGCUCCAAUAGCGUAUAUUAAAAUUGUUGCAGUUAAAAAGCUCGUAGUUGAAGUUCUGCUAAAAGUAACCGGUCUGCUUUUAAUAAAAGUGGUAUCUUGGUGUGUAUUUAGCAAUGAUGUCCUUUGAAGUGUUUUUUACUUUAUUGUAAUAAAGCAUAUUCAGGACUUUUACUUUGAGAAAAUUAGAGUG